rnacentral:lncRNA from 10 species
UAAAUGCCAUUCUGGAGGUGUGUGCGAGGGCAUGGGAAGCCUGAGCUCAGACUUCUUCCCGAAGACAUCCAUUAUCUCUCCAAAGAGUUUCUCAGCAAGUUGGCUGUUUCUAACUUGGGUUGUCCCCUCAUGGUUGCAAGAUGACUGCCACUACUCCAGAUAUGAUAUCUUCUAACACCCUCCCACAGUGGAAGAAGGAAGAGAGCACUCUUUUCUUUUUAAGACAAAAGAAAAUUUUUCUGGAAACCACCAUGCACCAGCAGACUUUCCCUCAUAUCUCAUUAACCAGAAUUCCUAUACAUGCUGAUGCCUGAACCUAUCACUGGCCUCUGAAGAGAUGAACAAAAUCAUGCCUCUGUGAGCAAGCAAGAAGGUGGUUGUGGUGGUUGAGAAGGCAACUGACAUCAACCACCUCCAUAAUGGUGAUGAAAACUAUGGGCUCUUAGAGGACAGAGUUCUGGGAGGGAAGAGAGCCACAUCUGGGACAGAGGUGAAGAGGACACUACAGUCAUUUAAUGGAGCUCCUAAGAGAAGAGUCUUUUGAGUCACAAAAUUUGGAGUCACAAACUGAACUCUUGGCUCUGCCAUUUCCUAACUGUGCAAACAAGUUAUUUACCCUCUAUGCCUUUGUUUCCACAGCUAUCGAAGGCCAACAUCUAAUGGAAGCUUGAAAAUAAAAUUAAGCCACACAGAGUAUGUGAUUAAUAAGUGAAACUAUCAUUAGUACUUCUGGCUGAGCAACAGGCACAGGCAUCAGAUUGGUUGUUAUACCAACAGUCAUUGAAAUUAUUGAAUACAAACAUUAAGUCUAGAUGCAGUGCUUCAAUAGACUCUUUCUUCUCCAGGAUGAGAAAGCUUGCUCAGAAUGAAGAGACAAGAAGUGGUUGUGGAGACAAACAGGAUUCAAAAUCAGAUCCCACUGCUACCAUUUAGGGAAAGUUAUUGGGAAAGUUACUGAAUCUUGGGAAAGUUAUUGAACUGCCUUGUGCUCAGUUUUCUCAUCUGCAACAGAGAGUAACAGCUCAUUAAGUUAUGAAGAUUAAACAAGUUAAUACAAAUGCACGUGUAAACUGUGAAUAAGGGCAGCCAUUGUUAGCAUGUUUACUGUUUUCAUAUAAAGAUGCAGUUACUCUAUUCUGUCUUUUAUUUACUUUGCUAAUUGUCACUACAAGAGGAGCAGUGAAAAAUCUGGCUUCAAUUCUUGUUCUUUCUCUUAGGAGCCACAUGGCCUCCGAGUAUCAGGUACUCCUUCAGUAAAAAGAUUGGCCCACUUUUCUCUCCAGAGAUGAGAGGUUCCAAAUAAAAUGUUUUGAAGACUGAAACUCAACAUAUGAUGUCUCAUUAUUUAUACGUAUUAUCUCCUGCGAUUCCAAUUUUUGUCUCAUUCUUUCUUAUCACCUACGCUUUUCUUUGGCUUCCUGCCUGGAACUUUUUCCUAUACUAUUUCACUACUUACCAUAAUCUCCAAUAUCUCUACUUUCUCUUCUAUCCAAAUCUUUAUGCAUCAUUACUUACAAUCUCUUAAAUGUGCCUUAAACUUUUCUUAUAGGAUAGUGGUGUGUAUAUACAUACAUUUAAAUUUAUUUUAAAUUUAAUCUCUCCUUCUCAGCCCCACAGAGACUGGUAUUAAAUUAGCAUAUGUAAAA